GACGAACCGUGCGAACGUUGUUCGGAAUCACUGGGCUUAAAGGGCGCGUAGGUGGCGCCGCAAGUCCAUGGUGAAAGCUCGAUGCUCAACAUCGAGUCGGCCACGGAGACUGCGGGGCUCGAGCACUGUAGGGGCAGAUGGAAUUCCGGGUGUAGCGGUGGAAUGCGUAGAGAUCCGGAAGAACACCGGUGGCGAAGGCGGUCUGCUGGGCAGUUGCUGACACUGAGGCGCGACAGCGUGGGGAGCAAACAGG
rnacentral:rRNA from 1 species